rnacentral:rRNA from 1 species
GACGAACGCUGGCGGCGCGCCUAACACAUGCAAGUCGAACGGAGCUUGCUUGUCAGAUCCUUUCGGGGUGACGACUUGUAAGCUUAGUGGCGAACGGGUGAGUAACACGUGAGUAACCUGCCCCAGAGUGGGGGACAACAGUUGGAAACGACUGCUAAUACCGCAUAAGACCACAGAGCCGCAUGGCUCGGGGGUCAAAGGAGAAAUCCGCUGAAGGAUGGCCUCGCGUCCGAUUAGCUAGUUGGCGGGGUAACGGCCCACCAAGGCGACGAUCAGUAGCCGGUCUGAGAGGAUGAACGGCCACAUUGGGACUGAGACACGGCCCAG